AAAGUUGGGGACUCGAAGAUGAUCAGAUACCGUCCUAGUCUCAACCAUAAAUGAUGCCGACCAGGGAUCGGCGGAUGUUGCUUUUAGGA
rnacentral:rRNA from 1 species